rnacentral:rRNA from 1 species
GACGAACCGUGCAAACGUUGUUCGGAAUCACUGGGCUUAAAGGGCGCGUAGGCGGGUUACCAAGUCAGGGGUGAAAUCUUUCGGCCCAACCGGAAAAGGGCCCCUGAAGCUACUGGUAGUCGUCGAGGGAGGUGAGGGGGUCGGAUGGAACUUCCGGUGGAGCGGUGAAAUGCGUAGAUAUCGGAAGGAACGCCGGUGGCGAAAGCGAUCGACUGGACCUCUUCUGACGCUGAGGCGCGAAAGCCAGGGGAGCAAACGGG